CUCCAAGGCACAAGCUGUGUUCCUGCAGCCCUCCAUCCUUCCAAAACCCUCAGAGUGAGGAAAAUUGGGUUCAGGACCCCAAGAAACUGUGCUUGGAGACCUGGGGUCAAGGGCUGGAGCCCCCUGCCUUGCGAGGGCCCUCUGCUCAGCUGCCUGUGAAACACGUUCGCUUUGCAGCAAUAGAGUUAAUUCAGCAGCUUUGAAAGUCCUCCUAAAGCCUCUUCUGUGGCCGUGAUUGACGGUUCCCUCUGCCCCUGGGGGCAACACCCCAGGGACCAUAUGGGCGACCUGCCUUCCCCUGCUUUGACUCAUCAAAACGGACUCUUCUCUUAUUUUUUUUUUUUUUCUGCUGGGCCUCUCUUCUCUUUGUGCACAGUGACCUCUCUCCCUGGCCUGCUUGGGCCACCCGUGUCUUUAAACUGGACAUAUCCCUGAACUCCAGCUCACUCAAGACCUGGAUUUUUCAUUGUGUGAGAGGCAAAAACAGCCUUCAGGUCCAAGCACAAGACCUUUAUGCCCCCGCUAAGGACACGGGGCUAGCAACAUGAUUUUUAAGCUUGUGAAGAAACACUCUAAUGGCUUUGUCUAGGUUUCUUAUUUGAUGAACUUACUACCUGAAUUCUGGUAGUGUUAAUAAAAUCUGAGAUUUUAUUGUCUA